AGUAACGCGUGAGCAAUCUGCCUUUAAGAGGGGGAUAACAGUCGGAAACGGCUGCUAAUACCGCAUAAAGCAUUAAAUUCGCAUGUUUUUGAUGCCAAAGGAGCAAUCCGCUUUUAGAUGAGCUCGCGUCUGAUUAGCUGGUUGGCGGGGUAACGGCCCACCAAGGCGACGAUCAGUAGCCGGACUGAGAGGUUGAACGGCCACAUUGGGACUGAGACACGGCCCAG
rnacentral:rRNA from 1 species